GCAAAGGGGUAACCCAAUGGACCCUAGGUUUUAGUUUGUCCCUUUGAUGGAUAGGGACAACAGCAUAAGCAAGGCAUCCAAAAGCUCUCAAAUGCGAGUAGGAUGGGGCUUUGCCAUAUAAAAUUUCAUGGGGAGACUUAUGAUGGAGAGUUCUGGUAGGUAUUUUGUUAAGGAGAUAUGUGGCAGUUAACAGGCAAUCACCCCAGAAAGAGACAGGUAGACCAGAUUGAAAAAGUAAUGCUCUACAUGUUUCAAGAGUGUUCUGUGUUUCCUUUCAACAACAUCAUUCUGUUGGGGAGAAUGAGGACAGGAGGUUUGAUGAAUGAUCCCCUGGCUACUAAAAAGGGAUUUUCCCUCAGUGCUGCUGGGGAGAAUGAGGGCAAGAGGUUUGAUGAAUGAUCCCCUGGCUACUAAAGAAGGAUUUACCCUCAGUGCUGGACCCCAGUUCUAAGGCAUAGUCACUUCUGACAGUUUGGACUACAGAAUUGAAUUGAGUUUUUAACAAAGGAAAUGAAAGACUUAACUAGGGAAAAGGCAUUGCUUUUGGAUCCCAUUAGGUGUGUCCAGGUUGCCCUAGAGAAGUCAUAAACUAUAGUAAGGAAGUAUUUGUAACCAAAAGAAGUAGAAGUGUGGUAAGGUCCCCAAGUAUCCACAUGUAUCAAUUGGAAUGGUCUAGUUGUACUGAUACUACUGUCAUGAAAAGGAAGUCUAG
rnacentral:lncRNA from 1 species